rnacentral:misc_RNA from 1 species
GUCCUGGGCUUCUGGUGCA